GACGAACGCUGGCGGCGUGCUUAACACAUGCAAGUCGAACGGAAAGGCCCUGCUUUUGUGGGGUGCUCGAGUGGCGAACGGGUGAGUAACACGUGAGUAACCUGCCCUUGACUUUGGGAUAACUUCAGGAAACUGGGGCGAAUACCGGAUAGGAGCUCCUGCUGCAUGGGGGGGGUUGGAAAGUUUCGGCGGUUGGGGAUGGACUCGCGGCUUAUCAGCUUGUUGGUGGGGUAGUGGCUUACCAAGGGUUUGACGGGUAGCCGGCCUGAGAGGGUGACCGGCCACAUUGGGACUGAGAUACGGCCCAGACUCCUACGGGAGGCAGCAGUGGGGAAUAUUGCACAAUGGGCGGAAGCCUGAUGCAGCAACGCCGCGUGCGGGAUGACGGCCUUCGGGUUGUAAACCGCUUUCGCCUGUGACGAAGCGUGAGUGACGGUAAUGGGUAAAGAAGCACCGGCUAACUACGUG
rnacentral:rRNA from 1 species